rnacentral:rRNA from 1 species
CCUGCCCAGUGAUUUUAUAUUUUUAUCUAAUAAAAACGUAAAAUAAAAUUAAACGGCCGCUGUAUACCUGACGGUGAUAAUGUAGGAAAAUAAAUAGUUAUUUAAUUGAUGAACGUAGGUGAAUGGUUUUACGAGGUUUUUACUGUUUUAAGUAUAAACAAAAAAAAUUUAAAUAAUAGUGAAGAUGCUAUUUAAAACUGUAAGACGAGAAGACCCUAAAAGCUUAACUAUAUAAACUUUAAAAUAAAUUCUUUCAUUUCUAUAUAAAUGAAGAAAAAUAAUUUUUAAGGAAGGUAGUUUGGUUGGGGCAACAGCAUUUUAAAUAAAAAGAAUGUAAUUUUUAAUUAUUAAAAAAAAUUUUUUUGUUUAAUAGAUGGAUUUAACAAUCACAAAGUGGAGAAAAAACCUGUCUUUUUUAGAAAAAAAAAAUAGACAUAUAAUAAAUAAAAGCUACUUUAGGGAUAACAGGUUAAUUCCAUCUUAGAGACGCUAUCGAAGAUGGAGUUUGACACCUCGAUGUUGAAUUAAGUUAUCCUAGUAAUGCAGCAGUUACUAAAGGUUGGUCUGUUCGACCAUUAAAAACUUACAUGAUUUGAGU